rnacentral:rRNA from 1 species
UACGUAGGUGGCGAACGUUAUCCGGAAUUAUUGGGCGUAAAGGGUGCGUAGAUGGCCUGAUAAGUUAGCAGUGGGAAAUCGAGGCUCAACCUCGUGGAAGCUGGUAAUACUGUCAAGCUCGAGUGCAGGAGAGGUUAACGGAACUCCAUGUGGAGCGGUAAAAUGUGUAGAUAUAUGGAAGAACACCAAUAACGGCGAAGGCAGUUAACUAUUCUGUUACUGACAUUGAGGCACGAAAGCGUGGGGAGCAAAACGG